rnacentral:rRNA from 1 species
AUUGAACGCUGGCGGCAGGCCUAACACAUGCAAGUCGAACGAGUGGCGGACGGGUGAGUAAUGUCUGGGAAACUGCCCGAUGGAGGGGGAUAACUACUGGAAACGGUAGCUAAUACCGCAUACCAUCGGAUGUUCCCAGAUGGGAUUAGCUUGUAGGUGAGGUCACGGCGCACCUAGGCGACGAUCCCUAGCUGGUCUGAGAGGAUGACCAGCAACAAUGGAACUGAGACAAGGUCCAGACUCCUAGGGGAGGAAGCAGUGGGGAAGAUGGAAAAAGGGGCGAAAGCCUGAUGAAGCCAUGCCGCGGGGAUGAAGAAGGCCUUCGGGUUGUAAAGUACUUGCAGCGGGGAGGCGUUACACGCAGAAGAAGCACCGGCUAACUCCGUGCCAGCAGCCGCGGGAAUAC